rnacentral:rRNA from 1 species
AGUGAACGCUGGCGGUAGGCCUAACACAUGCAAGUCGAACGGCAGCACAGUAAGAGCUUGCUCUUACGGGUGGCGAGUGGCGGACGGGUGAGGAAUACAUCGUAAUCUACUUUUUCGUGGGGGAUAACGUAGGGAAACUUACGCUAAUACCGCAUACGACCUACGGUUGAAAGCAUUGGAUCUUCUGACCUUGCGCGAUUGAAUGAGCCGAUGUCGGAUUAGCUAGUUGGCGGGGUAAAGGCCCACCAAGGCGACGAUCGGUAGCUGGUCUGAGAGGAUGAUCAGCCACACUGGAACUGAGACACGGUCAAGACUCCUACGGGAGGCAGCAGUGUGGAAUAUUGGACAAUGGGCGCAAGCCUGAUCCAGCCAUACCGCGUGGGUGAAGGAGGCCUUCGGGUUGUAAAGCCCUUUUGUUGGGAGAGAAAAGCAGCAGGUUAAUACCACGCUGUUCUGACGGUACCCAAAGAAUAAGCACCGGCUAACUUCGUG